UACGUAGGUGGCAAGCGUUGUCCGGAAUUACUGGGCGUAAAGGGCGUGUAGGCGGGCUAUUAAGUCAGAUGUGAAAUAUCCGGGCUCAACCUGGAGGGUGCAUCUGAUACUGGAAGCCUUGAGUGCAGGAGAGGACAGUGGAAUUCCUAGUGUAGCGGUGAAAUGCGUAGAUAUUAGGAGGAACACCAGUGGCGAAGGCGGCUGUCUGGACUGUAACUGACGCUGAGGCGCGAAAGCGUGGGGAG
rnacentral:rRNA from 1 species